UACGUAGGGGGCGAGCGUUGUCCGGAUUUAUUGGGCGUAAAGAGCUCGUAGGCGGUUUCGUAAGUCGGAUGUGAAAACUCCAGGCUCAACUUGGAGACGCCAUUCGAUAGUGCGAUGACUUGAGUCCGGUAGGGGAGUGUGGAAUUCCUGGUGUAGCGGUGAAAUGCGCAGAUAUCAGGAGGAACACCGGCGGCGAAGGCGGCACUCUGGGCCGGUACUGACGCUGAGGAGCGAAAGCGUGGGUAGCAAACAGG
rnacentral:rRNA from 1 species